CCGUAGCCCAAGAGAUCGGGAUAACACCUGGAAACAGAUGCUAAUACCGGAUAACAACAGAUGAUGCCUAUCAACUGUUUAAAAGAUGGUUCUGCUAUCACUCUUGGAUGGACCUGCGGUGCAUUAGCUAGUUGGUAGGGUAACGGCCUACCAAGGCGAUGAUGCAUAGCCGAGUUGAGAGACUGAUCGGCCACAUUGGGACUGAGGCACGGCCCAAACUCCUACGGGAGGCAGCAGCU
rnacentral:rRNA from 1 species